CAAAGGAAUUGACGGGGGCCCGCACAAGCAGCGGAGCGUGUGGUUUAAUUCGAGGCUACACGAAGAACCUUACCUGGGCUUGACAUGCUGGUGGUAGGGAAGCGAAAGCGGACCGACCUUCGGGAGCCAGCACAGGUGCUGCAUGGCUGUCGUCAGCUCGUGUCGUGAGAUGUUCGGUUAAGUCCGGUAACGAGCGCAACCCUUGCCGUUAGUUACAAGUGUCUAACGGGACUGCCCGUAGAAAGCGGGAGGAAGGUGGGGAUGACGUCAAGUCAGCAUGGCCUUGAUGUCCAGGGCUACACACACGCUACAAUGGCCGGUCCAGAGGGUUGCCAAGCCGCGAGGUGGAGCCAAUCCCACAAAGCCGAUCGUAGUCCGGAUUGUUCUCUGCAACUCGAGAGCAUGAAGUCGGAAUCGCUAGUAAUCGCAGGUCAGCAUACUGCGGUGAAUACGUUCCCGGGUCUU
rnacentral:rRNA from 1 species